rnacentral:rRNA from 1 species
GACGAACGCUGGCGGCGUGCUUAACACAUGCAAGUCGAACGGAAAGGCCCUGCUUUUGUGGGGUGCUCGAGUGGCGAACGGGUGAGUAACACGUGAGUAACCUGCCCUUGACUUUGGGAUAACUUCAGGAAACUGGGGCUAAUACCGGAUAGGAGCUCCUGCUGCAUGGUGUUGGUUGGAAAGUUUCGGCGGUUGGGGAUGGACUCGCGGCUUAUCAGCUUGUUGGUGGGGUAGUGGCUUACCAAGGCUUUGACGGGUAGCCGGCCUGAGAGGGUUACCGGCCACAUUGGGACUGAGAGACGGACCAGAAUCCUACGGGAGGCAGCAGUGGGGAAUAUUGCACAAUGGGCGGAAGCCUGAUGCAGCAACGCCGCGUGCGGGAUGACGGCCUUCGGGUUGUAAACCGAUUUCGCCUGUGACGAAGCGUGAGUGACGGUAAUGGGUAAAGAAGCACCGGCUAACUACGUG